CCAGAAAUCAGGAUUUUAAAGAGAUUCCCAGGUGAUUCUAAUGUGCAGCCAAGGUUGAGAACGACUGCUCUAGGCUGAGCUUCCAGGGUGACUCCUGGAACAACUCUGCAGAAUUAGCUCACUGAGGGUGCUGGGGGCUGCUGGGAAGUCAGGAAACCUCUGUCUCGAGCCCAGGGCCCCCGGCCCAGCCAGCACCCAAGCCAGCGCAGUGUGUGCCCCGUGUUCUGCCAGCGGAAAAGCCACUGCACCGGGGAUCUGCAAACCUGUGGUGUCUGCUGGGUGGAAGCCAGUUGGCAGCGGAGGAUAUGAAGAGGAUCAGACCAGACACUGGAAGAAAAGAUGCUAGCUACAUGUGUUUUACGUCUGCCUCCUCAGUGAAGCUGGGACUUUAUGCUUAUCUGGCAACUUCCAGCCCUAGGAUCAAGACAGAACUUGGCCAGAGGUGACAAUUAAUUUUAUGUGUCAACUUGAUUGGGCAACAAGGUUGGGAUGUUGGCUUUUUCCUGCCUUUGGACUCCAAUUGGAAUAUUGGCGUUUUGGGGUUGCAAGCCUGUGAAGUUAUAGACUGAAACCACACCAAUGGUCCUCUUGGUUUUCAGGCCUUCAGACUUCGAUGAAGCUAACUCAUCAGUUCUCCUGGGUCUCCAGCUUGCUGAUUCACCCUGAAGAUCUUGGGGCUUGUUACUUCCACAAUGACAUGUGCCAAUUCCUCAUAAUAAAUCUGUGUGUGUAUGUCUGUGUAUGUGUGUGUGCAGGCAGAGUGAUAAAAAGUAGGUUUACAGCUGUAUGUGAAACACAUAAUUUAUUCUUGUAUUAGAAUUUAUUAAUUACUGUAUUUUCCAUACCAACAACUGUAACCUACUUUUGCCCACCCCUGUAUACAUA